CCUACGGGAGGCUGCAGUGGGGAAUAUUGGACAAUGGGCGAAAGCCUGAUCCAGCCAUGCCGCGUGUGUGAAGAAGGCCUUCGGGUUGUAAAGCACUUUCAGUGGGGAAGAAAGCCUUGGGGCUAAUACCCUCGAGGAAGGACAUCACCCACAGAAGAAGCACCGGCUAACUCCGUGCCAGCAGCCGCGGUAAUACGGAGGGUGCGAGCGUUAAUCGGAAUUACUGGGCGUAAAGCGCGCGUAGGCGGUCUGAUAAGCCGGUUGUGAAAGCCCCGGGCUCAACCUGGGAACGGCAUCCGGAACUGUCAGGCUAGAGUGCAGGAGAGGAAGGAAGAAUUCCCGGUGUAGCGGUGAAAUGCGUAGAGAUCGGGAGGAAUACCAGUGGCGAAGGCGGCCUUCUGGACUGACACUGACGCUGAGGUGCGAAAGCGUGGGUAGCAAACAGGAUUAGAUACCCCUGUAGUC
rnacentral:rRNA from 1 species